rnacentral:rRNA from 1 species
AUUGAACGCUUGCGGCAGGCCUAACACAUGCAAGUCGAACGAGUGGCGGACGGGUGAGUAAUGUCUGGGAAACUGCCUGAUGGAGGGGGAUAACUCCUGGAAACGGUAGCUAAUACCGCAUACCAUCGGAUGUGCCCAGAUGGGAUUAGCUAGUAGGUGGGGUAAAGGCUCACCUAGGCGACGAUCCCUCGCUGGUCUGAGAGGAUGACCAGACACACUGGAACGGAGCAACGGUCCAGAAUCCUACGGGAGGCAGCAGUGGGGAAUAUUGCACAAUGGGCGCAAGCCUGAUGCAGCCAUGCCGCGUGUAUGAAGAAGGCCUUCGGGUUGUAAAGUACUUUAAGCGGGGAGGCGUUACCCGCAGAAGAAGCAGAGGCUAACUCCGUGCCAGCCGCCGCGGUAAUUC